rnacentral:rRNA from 1 species
UGGGGAAUAUUGCACAAUGGGGGGAACCCUGAUGCAGCGACGCCGCGUGAAGGAAGAAGUAUUUCGGUAUGUAAACUUCUAUCAGCAGGGAAGAAAAUGACGGUACCUGACUAAGAAGCCCCGGCUAACUACGUGCCAGCAGCCGCGGUAAUACGUAGGGGGCAAGCGUUAUCCGGAUUUACUGGGUGUAAAGGGAGCGUAGGCGGUGAUGCAAGUCAGAAGUGAAAGCCCGCAGCUCAACUGCGGGACUGCUUUUGAAACUGUAUUACUAGAUUGCAGGAGAGGUAAGUGGAAUUCCUAGUGUAGCGGUGAAAUGCGUAGAUAUUAGGAGGAACACCAGUGGCGAAGGCGGCUUACUGGACUGUAAAUGACGCUGAGGCUCGAAAGCGUGGGGAGCAAACAGG